AGAAACCAUCCGUGAAUUAGAC
rnacentral:snRNA from 1 species